GUCGUCCCACCCCCACUCCAGCGGCCAGACAAACCCUAGCCCCCUUUAUCCACGCGCCCCAGCUGCUUGACGCCUCCCUCCCCGUCCUCCUGCAUCUCCCUUCACUCCCUCGCCGGCCGCUGCCGUCGCCACUCCACCUCCCUCCUCCCGGAUCAGAUGCAGGUCAUCGCCCUGGGGGAGCAGGGCGGCGCGGUCUUCAUGACAGGGUUGCAGGGGCCGGGACUGUGAGGAGGCUAACGGCGGGUGCAUGUAUUGCAGGAUAGAGGAGAGGCCGGUGUGGGGCGCAAGGAGCAGCAGGGACAGAACGGUGCUCGCUCGCCGAAUGUUGGCCCUCGGAUGAAUUCGACGCUUUAAUCGAGCUGACGAGCCCCAUGAGCAGAUCUAUAUUUUUGUUGGCACUAAAAGUGAAAACGAAUUUGGGACCAAAACUUUUCAAAUAGCUCUGAAUAUAAAUUGUGACCUUGUGCUGUCUGGGGUGGAGCUACAAGGGGUGAGACACGGAUAAAAAUACGAGAAGGAGCAUGCCAUCGAGGAGUGCAAGCAGCGGGACUCCUCCGCAAUGGGGUAUGGCUGCAGGGAAGGGGACGCGGCCAACGACACGAAGAAGGAGCAGGUCGUCGAGGACUACAAGCAGCAGGAUUAUUUUUGGCCCAUACAGUUUCCUUUGACUAGAAGUCUGAAACUGAAGAUAGGGUAUUGUUUUGGUUCUGAGUGGCCGGAGAUAUUGUGGCUUGAUGUCCCUAGAGCAGUCGGACCCUUCCAAGAUAGAAGAUCUUUGGGAUUGACGUUCUGAUGAGAAAGUAGCAUACAGAUGGAUGGACAUGAACUAUUCAGUGGUCGAGCUACGCUAUAUUUCUUUCAUUGAGGCGAGGGUGAUUCCAGUAGGUGAGGUGUAUUUUAGACAUCCGGAUGUCUUGCUAUGUUCAGGUGGUACCAUGUCUAAAUUAAGAUUUCCCUUGCAGAUUUUGCUUGGCGUACUCGCCUUUUUUCUUGAAGUUGGGUGUCCGUCUUCUCUACAGCAAGGAUCUGGGGAGUCGGAUUGUGGAUUACAUGUAGUGGGGAAGUAGAGAGGGGGACGAGGAAGAGGACACCGUCGGUGGCGUGCUAUAUCUCACUAGGCGGCAAUGUGGAGAGGGUGCCUGGCAUCAAGAACCCGACAUGCUUUUCCGAGUGUUCGUUGAGAUCUAUGUUGUCGCGGCAACACAGGCCAAUGCACAUUCAGGAAAUAUGUCACCAACUUCCCCAAGGUCCCGCAUCGUCUACUCAGGUUAAUUCUCGGUCUACAACCUCCAAAACUUGCAGUUCUAUUUUUCAAAAUGGUUAAGCACUCAUUGUGUCAGAUUUCGGGUUCCGGCAGACCCUCAAGGUUCGAACUCUGGGGUGCGCGCGGAGAUCACACCUCCUACCUACUCACGUCUCGUUGCCUCGCAAGGAUCUAAACUACAUGAAGAACAACACAAGGGACACGAGGUUUAUACUAGUUCGGUCCACCAUUGUGGUGUAAUACCCUACUCUAGUUUGUGGUGUGGUGGAUUGCCUCAGGGGCUGAUGAUGAACAAUACAAAGGAAGAACUGCCUCGCGAGGAGAGGAGUUCUUGUGGAGGCGAUGCCUCUUGGGAAGGAUUGAAUCCGGAUCCCUUUCUUCUGUGGUGGAUAGCCUUAUUUAUAGAGCGAGGCCUUGGUCCUCUUCCCAAAUAUUGAGCGGGAAGGGCACCAACAAUUGACCAUUUUGAAGGGGAACAUAUAGUACACUUAUCCUGGCUAAAGUCGGUCCUCGCCUGCCAAAGACUCUGAUGGUGACGCCGGCUUGGGCUCCACGAUGACCUCCAUCCUGCUGUUCUGCUGGUCUUGGUCUUGUUGCACCGAAAUGGUUGCCUUUGCUUGAUACUCUUGCCUGCGCUUGCCCCCUUUGUACCAAAGAGGAAACAAGGACUCGGUGCAGGCCGGCGCCCGCCAGGCGCCCUCCUGGCUUCGGUCAUCAUGGUUUGCAUCAUGGGCACCUCGUGAGGUACCCUGCCUUGAUCUCUCCGCCUUCUCGUGAGCCAGCCUGACGAGGCUGUGCCUGAGGAAGCUUCCUGUUGUCCGCCCCAUGAGGCUUGCCCCUCGCGAGGGUCUUGAGCAUGUGUUAAUGAAGAUGGGACGUACUGGGCCACUCC